GUCCCCAAUUACGGUAGAAAAAUCAAUAAAAAAAUCAAUAAAAAAAAAAUCGGGAAAUUUUCCCGAAUUUUUCAUUCUACUAAUGAACUCAAAAUCGUUAACUUUUUUUUUCAGAUCUACUUCCUGUUCCGGUCUUGUUGCUUCCUGUUCCGGUCUUGUUGGCAUGAGACUUUGAAUAAAAUGUAUAUUUAUCAACAUAUCAACAAAUAUAGGAAGGAAUUCAACACCCAAUCAUUUUUAAUAAUUGUUUGAUAUGAAAAAAACGUUACCUGAUAACAGCGUUUCUUUGUUUACAUUGAAUAUGACGUCAUAACUUAAAUAACGUCACAACUAAAAUCCCUAACAACAGAACCAAAAUCGGAAACGUUACGUUCUUUGUUUACAUUGAAUAUCACGUCAUAACGUCACAACUAAAUCCCUAACAACAGAACCAAAAUCGGAAACGUUACGGUAUUUCCGUUUAUCUUUUUAACAUGUUUGAUUUAUAAAAAAAAAUCAUACAGACUUCUUCCCCA
rnacentral:lncRNA from 1 species